UGCCCUCCAAGAGGAGUCGGAUGCAGGUGU
rnacentral:piRNA from 1 species